CUGCAAAACUUUCCAAAAAUUGAAGAAAAAAAAACUUCCUGUAAGGAGAGUGUUCUGCCAAAGUACACAUAUAAUGUGAAAGGGACUAAUCUCAAUUUUAAAGAUCAGUGUAUGUCGAUUUGAAAGGCACGGAUAUAUCAUACUGUUGGAUUUAAGGGGCGAUUUUUUUCCCCACUUCUUUUAAGGAGCCAUGGAAGAUAGCUCAAGUUCUCCAGUUUCCCCUGUGGACAGCUUAGUAACCAGCGAGGAGGAGCUGGACAGGCAACAUAAAAGAUUUGGAAGGAAAAGGAGAUACAGCAAAAAGUCUAGUGAAGACGGUAGCCCCGGUCCCGGAAAGCGGGGUAAAAAGUCGAGUCCCAGCGCCCAGUCGUACGAGGAGCUGCAGAAUCAAAGAGUCCUGGCAAACGUCAGAGAGAGGCAAAGGACUCAAUCCCUCAACGAAGCGUUCGCCUCUCUCAGGAAAAUAAUUCCCACACUGCCUUCGGAUAAACUGAGUAAGAUCCAGACGCUCAAACUGGCUGCGCGGUACAUCGAUUUCCUUUAUCAGGUCCUUCAGAGUGACGAGAUGGACAACAAGAUGUCCAGCUGUAGCUACGUAGCGCACGAGCGUCUGAGCUACGCGUUCUCAGUUUGGCGGAUGGAGGGCGCAUGGUCAAUGUCCACAUCCCACUAGUGACGGAGCAGCGGGCCUUGCCGACGGGUAGGUGUUGCCGAACUGUCAGCUCAAACUGUUUCACUUCUAUAACUAAAAAAAUGAACAUGGAUUUAUGGAGAACCUCAAAAACCUCAAAAGAUUGUCUCAACUAUAAAAUGUGCCUCUGAGCUCUGAAAGAGCACUUAUGAACUGCUUGAAGACUGCAUUCAUAAACUAAGGGAGGAAAUCUCUGUAUACUGUAUACUGUAUGUGACAAGCCAUUAGUAAAAAAAGGAAACCUAACAACAUUGACAUCUCCUGCUCAAAUUCCAUUUCUUCACAAACAGGAUGAAGUUCAAGUUAAAUACUGGUAUGAAAAUUCAGGAAGAAUUACUAUGUUGAGUGUUGUUACUUUUUUCUGUUUGAUUUGAUUGUUUUGUUUUGUUAAUGUAAGAGUAAAAAUAUAUAUAUAUUGUACAUAUCUUUCUUUGCUUUCUUAUGGGACCAAUGCAAUCAAUAAAGAAAAGCAAAUUAGUUUCUCAAACUAUGUUGCAUGGAUGCUUGAAAUGUUCUGUUCAUAGCCCAUUGUUGCUAUUGUUUUGUUUUUCACAUUCAUUGUAAAUUUUGCUAUUUUUUUAUUUAUUAAAAUAUUUUUACCAAA